UAAAUUUAACCAAUGAAAAUGCAGGAAUACAGGCUUUACCUGCCCCCAGUGUAGCACUACAUGAUUAAGAGGACUUUCAAACACGCAUUAGACUGUUUACUAUACAUUACAUUGAGGUGGCCAGCAAUCGAUUAAAUUGAAGUCAGUUAUAGACUGCCUUUCACAAAAGUUGUAAUGUAUUUAAAGAUGCAAUAUGUACAUUUUUUGGGAACACAAAAUUCACAUAGAAAUGUCAGUUAUAGAUCUGUCGAUUUCAAUGAAAUCAAUUCUAAGAAACAGUAACCUGUUCUAACUGCGCUAUUUCUAUGCUUCCCAUUUUUAAGUUACAUUUUUGUAUCUUUUACUUGCGGUUUUGUACACCAGCUUCAAACAGCUGAAAAUAUAUUUUUGGUUAUGGAAAAUAUAUUUCACAGCACUUCAGAUGAUACAACGAUUCUCUACAUUAUACUUGCUUGUUUUCUCAGACUGAAAUUAGGCAAACUAUAACAAUUUCUGCAAUCAGGAAAUGGCAGAGUGAUUUCUGCAUAGUGCCUCUUUAAAAGGUAGUAACAGAUUUUAUUUGUUGAUUGGAAAAGGGGGUUGGCUAACUAACUUUAUGUUGGCUUACAGAGCCUACACUGUAAGUCACACAAUAAGGAAUUGCAAUAGUUGGCAGCAUAGAUUGCCUCCCACUUGUGAGGCACCAAUACGGUAUGCAUCAUUAAAAAGCACUAUGUUCCAAAAUUAGGCUUAUUUUCUUUAUUUGUUAAACAAACAAGAUUUAUCUUCAAUGAGAAAUGGCCUGAGACCUUUUUCUCAGCGAUAAAGAUGGAUCGGAUAAACUCUGCUCUACCCUUGGAUUUCCCACUUGUUUUCAGGCUUGUCGGUGCUCCUUCUAAAUGAUCCAGAAAAUGCCCCUAAUGGAAAUUGCAGGUGGGAAAUGCAUUAUAAAUCUGGGGGACUUGCUACCAUUUCAUUUGGAGAGAAGCGGUUGAUCUACCAUUUUAAUAUAGAGGGAAAACAUUCCUGAGUAAUUACUGUGCAUUAUAAAAUACUGUAUACAGGACAAGCAACUAGCAUGGCUGAUUAGGGCCUAACUGGCUUCUAAAACGACACCGAUUUAGGACCUAUUUUUCUCCGAAGUGAGUCUGUAAAUGAAGCCAGUCCAUAAGGUUUAUUUAAUUAUGAGCGUACAAUAAUGGACCCUUGUAUUUCGAGCACUAUGAGGAAAACUAUCCAAACACACUGAAGGUGACGCACACCACCAAAACAUCUGUGCAAUUUCUCCCCUACCUGCUGUAAAAAGCAUUUAAAAAAAAUGAAAGACAUUAAAACAAUAAAUAAUUAACUUUUUUUAAGUUUGCGUGUUAACCACCUGUAACGCGAAAAGGCUACAUUAAGGAAGUGGCAUAACCUGUAUUCAUCAUGAGACAUUUAGUUACCAUUAAUUAAAAACGGGAUCAUUCGGCAUGACAUGAUUGGGCUCCCACGAGUGGCGCAGCGGUCUAAGGCACUGCAUCUCAGGGUUUGAGGCGUCACUACAGACAUCCUGGUUUGAUUCCAGGCAGUAUCACAACUGGCCGUGAUUGGGAGUCCCAUAGGGCGGUGCACAAUUGGCCCAGCGUCGUCUCAGGUUUGGCCGGUGUAGGCCGUCAUUAGAAAUACGAAUUUGUUCUUAACUGACUUGACUAGUUAAAUAAAGGUUAAAUAUAUAGAUAUAUAUUUUUUUAAAUGACUGGUAGAUUGCGUAUUAGGCUACAUUAGGUACAUUGUGCAGUAAUCUAAUUCAAGUCCAUUCAUAUUGGCAUAGUUCAAUACAUAAGAAUUAGGCUGAUCCCAAAAACCCAUCUCAGAAUUCACUGAUAAUCACAGUGAUAGUACUGCAUCAAGAGUUCUCUAUAAGUCCCCUUGUAGCAUGUCAUAGUAUAUUGUUUCAUGUUGUGAUGGUAUGUUUCAGUUAAUACCGUGUGUUUCAUGUACAUAGAGUAUUGCACACUGGUCACUAUAAUAAUGUUUAUAUACUGUUUCACCCACUUCAUAUGACCACUACUGUUCAAAAGUUUGGGGUCACUUAGAAAUGUCCUUGUUUUUGAAAGAAAAGCACUUUUUUUUGGUCCGUUAAAAUAACAUCAAAUUGAUCAGAAAUAUAGUGUAGAUAUUGUUCAUGUUGUAAAUGACUAUUGUAGAGGGAAACGGCUGAUUUUAAAUGGAAUAUCUACGUAGGCG
rnacentral:lncRNA from 1 species